rnacentral:rRNA from 1 species
UACGAAGGGGGCUAGCGUUGCUCGGAAUUAUUGGGCGUAAAGAGCGUGUAGGCGGCCAGAUAGGUCUGCUGUGAAAACUCGAGGCUCAACCUCGAGAUGUCGGCGGAAACCAUUUGGCUAGAGUCCGGAAGAGGAAAGUGGAAUUCCUGGUGUAGCGGUGAAAUGCGCAGAUAUCAGGAAGAACACCCGUGGCAAAGGCGGCUUUCUGGGACGGUACUGACGCUGAGACGCGAAAGCGUGGGGAGCGAACAGG